rnacentral:rRNA from 1 species
AAUCCCUUAAUGAGGAUCCAUUAGAGGGCAAGUCUGGUGCCAGCAGCCACGGUAAUUCUAGCUCCAAUAGCGUAUAUUUAAGUUGCUACAGUUAAAAAGCUCGUAGUUGGAUCUUGGGUCGUAAAGGUCGGUCCGCCUACUCGGUGUGCACUUGCCCUUCCGUCCCUUUUGUCGGCAGUGUGCUCCUGACCUUAAUUGGCUGGGUCACGGAUCUGACGCUGUUACUUUGAAAAAAUUAGAGUGCUCAAAGCAAGCUUAUGCUCUGAAUACAUUAGCAUGGAAUAACGUGAUAGGAGUCUAGUCCUAACAUGUUGGCCUUUGGGACUGGAGUAAUGAUUAAUAGGGACUGACGGGGGCAUUCGUAUUUCAUUGUCAAAGGUGAAAUUCUUGGAUUUAUGAAAGACGGACCACUGCGAAAGCAUUUGCCAAGGAUGUUUUCAUUAAUCAAGAAGGAAAGUUGGGGGCUCGAAGACGAUCAGAUACCAUCCUAGUCUCAACCAUAAACGAUGCCGACCAGGGAUGGGCAUAUGUUUCUCUAAGGACUCUACCAGCACCUUCUGAGUAAUCAAAGUGUUUGGGUUCUGGGGGGAGUAUGGUCACAAGGCUGAAACUUAAAGGAAUUGACGGAAGGGCACCACCAGGAGUUGAGCCUGCGGCUUAAUUUGACUCAACACGGGGAAACUUACCAAGUCCAGACAUAGUAAGGAUUGAUAGAUUGAGAGCUCUUUCUUGAUUCUAUGGGUGGUGGUGCAUGGUCGUUCUUAGUUGGUGGAGCGAUUUGUCUGGUUAAUUCCGAUAACGAAUGAGACCUCAGCCUGCUAACUAGCUACGCGGAGGUUCCCCUUCGUGGCCAGCUUCUUAGAGGGACUAUGGCCGUUUAGGCCAUGGAAGUUUGAGGCAAUAACAGGUCUGUGAUGCCCUUAGAUGUUCUGGGCCACACACGCGCUACACUGAUGCAGCAAACGAGCUUUUCUUCCUGGUUCGAGAGGAUCGGGAAAUCUUCUCAAAUUGCAUCAUGAUGGGGAUAGACCAUUGCAUUUAUUGGUCUUCAACAAAGAAUUCCUAGUAAGCGCGUGUCAUCAACUCGUGUUGACUACGUCCCUGCCCUUUGUACACACUGCCCGUCGCUCCUACCGAUUGAAUGAUCCGGUGAGGUGUUCGGAUUGCGUCGACGAUGGUGGUUCGUCGCCAUCGACGUCAUGAGAAGUUCAUUGAACCUUAUCAUUUAGAGGAAGGAGAAGUCGUAACAAGGUUACCGUAGGUGAACUUGCGGUAG